rnacentral:rRNA from 1 species
GACGAACGCUGGCGGCGUGCCUAAUACAUGCAAGUCGAACGCUGAAGGAGGAGCUUGCUUCUCUGGAUGAGUUGCGAACGGGUGAGUAACGCGUAGGUAACCUGCCUGGUAGCGGGGAUAACUAUUUGAAACGAUAGCUAAUACCGCAUAAUAUUGACUAUUGCAUGAUAGUCAGUUGAAAGGGGCAACUGCACCACUACCAGAUGGACCUGCGUUGUAUUAGCUAGUUGGUGGGGUAACGGCUCACCAAGGCGAGGAUACAUAGCCGACCUGAGAGGGUGAGCGGCCAGACUGGGACGGAGACCCGGCCCAGAGGCCUACGGGAGGCAGCAGUAGGGCAUCUUCGGCAAGGGACGGAAGUCUGACCGAGAAACGCCGAGGGAUUGAAGAAGGUUGUCGGAUCGGAAAGGUCGGUUGUCAGAGAAGAACGAGUGUGAGAGUGGAAAGCUCACAAUGUGACGGUACCUGAACAGAAAGGGACGGCUAACUACGUG